rnacentral:lncRNA from 1 species
CCACUGCGCGCGGCCGGGGGAUGCUGUGUCCUUGGCUGCGGGGAGCCUGCUGGGCCAGGGGACCGAGUGGAGCCUAGCUGCCCCCGAGCCUCCUUGUGGUGUCUGCUGUGUGCGAGUGUGUACUGGAAAGCUAAUUCUGGUUCGCUCGGCCGGGCCUAAUUGGCAUUCCACAAGAUGGACACCUAGGGGGACGCGAUUGGUUUCUUCCACACACAGUCACUUCCACACACUUACACCUCCACACACUCCCUUCAGCACGUCAAGUGGUUUGGUUUAGGCGGUGGCUUUUUUUUUUUUUAAAGGUCGGGUGCCAGCUUCAGGCGAGGAAGGAGAGGCUAGGAAUCGGUGUGGUGAUUAGGGAAAGGAUGUUGUCAAAGAUGGAAAAGAGCCUGUUGUCUGAUGUAGUUGGUGGUGUUGGAAACUGCGCAAAACAGCCACAGAUGAGUGUUUCUUGACUGGGCUCCCCAGGGAGUCUAGGUGCUGCCUCAACUUAUGGCCUUUUUCUCGAGGAACUGUGAUAUGGAGUGUGUGUGUGUGUGUGUUGUAAAGGAGCUCACCGGCCAAAUGGAGAAUAGUAGCAAGGGAGGCACAUGGAGAACUGUUUAUAUGAAAACAGUCCCGGCCAUCUUAACCAUUCCAUUGUUGAAUUAAUGCUCAAAAUAUAUAAGCCCACGGGGCUCAGUGGCUAAGAGGACUUGUUGCUCCUCCAGAGGACCAGCACUUACUUAGUGGCUCACAACAUCUGUGAUCCAGUACCAGGGGAUCCGAUGGCUUCUUCUGACCUCCAUGGGCACCAAGCAUGCAUGUGGUACCCAUACAUACAUGAAGACAAAACAGUCACACAUAAAAUAGAAUGAAUAAAUAUACAAAAUAUAUCAUCCUGGUAUAUUAUGAAAAUGAAAAAUGGUAACAACUGUUUUAGUAAAAAAGUCUGGCAGUUAGUUUCUUGUACAAGUGAACACAUACAGAUGUAGCUCAGUUCCAAUCGGUAUUUACCCAAGAGAAACAAAUACACAGGCCACAUCAAGGUCAGUCAUAGCAGCCCUAUUGAUCACAGCCCCAAAUUUGGUCUGCCCCAGUGUUCCUCUACAGGAAAUGGAAAACCAACCUAAGGUACAUUCACAUCACGACUGUCAGACUUCAGUUCUCAAACAGCAUGCUAAGUGGAAGGAACCAGAGAAAAGAGCCAUGCCACAGUGAAGUGUUGGAAUAGACAAAGUAACUCUCUUCCCUUUUUUGAGGGUCUAACUGUGUAGCUCUGGCUGUCCUAGAACUCAUUAUAUAGACCAGGUUGGCCUCAAACUUACUGAGAUCUGCCUGCCCCUGCCUCCCAAGUGCUGUGGAAUAAUCCUUUUGUGCACUGUGAAU